AGGACGAACGCUGGCGGCGUGCUUAACACAUGCAAGUCACGGGGGCUCGCAAGAGCAACCGGCGAACGGGUGCGUAACACGUGAGCAACCUACCGAUUUCUGGGGGAUAGCCGGCCCAACGGCCGGGUAAUACCGCAUACGUUCUUUGGGGGACAUCCUCUGAAGAAGAAACCUCCGGGGGAGAUCGAGGGGCUCGCGGCCUAUCGGCUAGUUGGCGAGGUAACGGCUCACCAAGGCAACGACGGGUAGCU
rnacentral:rRNA from 1 species